AUCGCUUCUCAGCCUUUUGGCUAAAAUCGAGUGUAGUAUCUGUUCUUAUCAGUUUAAUAUCUGAUACGUCCUCUAUCCGAGGACAAUAUAUUAAAUGGAUUUCUUUGUUUGGGGGGCGGGGGAGCAAUACAACUAAAUUAUGUGCUCAGUCUUCCUUUGUAGUACACAGAAAGAAGUAUUGCAAAAUGCAU
rnacentral:snRNA from 1 species